rnacentral:rRNA from 1 species
AUUGAACGCUGCGGCAGGCUUAACACAUGCAAGUCGAGCGAGCGGCGGACGGGUGGGUAAGGCUUAGGAAUCUGCCUAUUAGAGGGGGACAACAUCUCGAAAGGGAUGCUAAUACCGCAUACUAGUCGACGGGCCUCGUCGGAUUGGCGAGUUGGUGGGGUAAGGGCCUACCAAGGCGACGAUCCGUAGCGGGUCUGAGAGGAUGAUCCGCCACACGGGAACUGAGACACGGCCCAGACUCCUACGGGAGGCAGCAGUGGGGAAUAUGCACAAUGGGCGGAAGCCUGAUGCAGCCAUGCCGCGUGUGUGAAGAAGGCCUUCGGGUUGUAAAGCACUUUCAGCGGGGAGGCGUUACCCGCAGAAGAAGCACCGGCUAACUCCGUGCCAGCAGCCGCGGUAAUUC